AAAAAAUAAAAAAGAAAGAAGAAAAUGGUUUAGUCAUUUGUUCCCAAGAUCCUUAGUUAAAAAAGUAAAUCUAUAAUUUUAAGAAAACAAAAGAGUUAGAAAGCAAAUUGAGAAAGCUUUUGCAGUCAGAAAUCUAAACAUCAUCAUGAAGGUUGCAAGGAAAGGCAUUGUACCUGAUGGUCCUGGUAGCGUCAAGUUGACGCCAAUCGAUUCAGAUGAUCUUUGGUUCGCUUAUAAUUUGAUAUCUCCCGGAGAUUCCGUUAUGGCAGUUACUGUUAGGAAAGUUUUAAGACAGGCUGCUUCUGGUGGUAGAGAUGCAGAAAGAGUAAAGUUGAAGUUAGAAAUCAAAGUUGAGGCCAUAGAUUACGAUAAAGUAGGUUCCGCUUUGCGAAUUCGCGGGAAGAAUGUAUUGGAGAAUGAACAUGUGAAGAUUGGAGCAUUUCAUACUUUAGAACUCGAGCUACAUCGGCCUUUUGUUCUGAGAAAGGAAAUUUGGGACUCUUUGGCAUUGGAUAUACUCAGUCAAGCCUCUGAUCCUGGUGCAAGUGCUGAUCUUGCUGUGGUUUUAAUGCAAGAAGGAUUAGCACACAUCUUCCUUGUUGGUAAAAGCAUGACGUCUACUCGAUCACGGAUAGAAACUUCGAUUCCUCGAAAGCAUGGACCUGCUAUUGCUGGUUAUGAGUCGGCAUUGAAUAAAUUCUUUGAACACAUCCUACAGGCUUUUCUAAAACAUAUUGAUUUCAGUGUUAUUCGGUGCGCUGUGAUUGCAAGCCCUGGUUUCACAAAGGAUCAGUUUCAUCGACACUUACUGUUGGAGGCAGAGAGGAGACAGCUGAGACCAAUUAUUGAGAACAAAUCACGCAUUGUUCUUGUGCAUACAAGCUCAGGAUACAAGCAUAGCUUGAAAGAAGUUCUGGAUGCUCCAAAUAUUAUGAACAUGAUAAAAGAUACUAAGGCCGCGCAGGAGGUCCGAGCACUGGAGGAGUUUUUCGACAUGCUUUCAAAUGAUCCAGCCCGAGCAUGUUAUGGACCAAAGCAUGUGGAGGUUGCGCAUGAACGCAUGGCUGUCCAGACUCUUCUCAUCACAGAUGAUCUCUUCAGGUUAGUGUGGUUUGAUAAUUGUUCACAGAUGAUCUCUUCAGAAAUGCUGACAUACCUACGAGGAAGAAGUAUGUCAAUUUAGUCAACUCGGUGAAGGACUCAGGGGGCAAUGCACAUAUAUUUUCAUCAAUGCAUGUCUCAGGAGAGCUUUCUGUCCUCCGAAACAGAAUUGGCACAAUUGACUGGCAUUGCUGCAAUCCUUCGAUUUCCUUUGCCAGACCUCGAAGACAUUGAGAUGUAAUGGAGAGCUUUGUUGGGGUGGGGGCAACAAUGGUGUCUAGAUGAUUGGCCUGUAUACUAAUCUUGUCUGUAUGCAUCAGCAGUUUCAACUUUUAUCUACAUUUACAUCCAAAGCAGCAAUAGAUAGAUGACCAAAAUGCAUUCCGUGGGUAGAUUGAUUCAGUAAUAAACUUGGCCAUUUGUUAACAGCCUGUGGAACCCGUCUGUGUUGGGAUCUUAUAUUCAAUCCAAGUGUAACAUGUAUCUAUUGUACUAUAAAGAAGUGAGUUGAGUUACGGAUGAAAA